UGUACCGCAAAAAAAAAAAAAAAAAAAAGAGAAUGUGGACAGAAGGGAAGGGGGCCCAGGUGGACCCUCCCCCAUCACCUAUCUGCUGACCACAGUGUGAGGGGGCCAGCAGCCCUUAAAAAGGCAGCAGUGAGAGGACCAUCCCCCUGCAACCACGUGUUCCCACCUGUUUGUGUCACCUCUGGGUGUGCCUGGCGCUCCCCUCCCUCACCGCCAAUCUGGAGCAGUGACAAUAUGCCAGCGCUGAGCCCCGCCUCCCAGAGGGGGAGAGGGACUUCCUCUAGGGAACUCCCGUGGGAAGGGAGACAGGCCAAUCACAGAUCCCAGGAGGAUGCCGGGGGCGCAGGGAGCAUCUCUGCUGGCCCUUGGGAGCCGUCCCACCCCACUCUGGCGGGACCUAGAUGGGACCUGGGCUGGGUAGAGGCACCCCGAUGCCCAGAGACCCCACGGGCCUGGCAGGCUGGACCCCUCUCUCCCAGGUCUGCCCGUCCCUCGGCGGCCCUUGUUGGGGAAACAGCCGGAGACCUCGCCCUGGGGACCCUGGUGGUAUUCGAGGCCCUGGAAUCCCAGUUGUCAGACAUGGGGCAGAUCUGCUCGUCAGCUCCCUGGGGGCGCAGUAGGGGUGGGGGCAGGAUUGUGCAGUUCCGGCUCAGACUUCUUCCUGUGUCCUGUCCCUCCACCCUUGUCCCUUGUUCAGCUGCUCCCAGGGCAGGGGCUCGGCCUGAAAAGGUGGUCCUUGACACCUAGGGGUGGGGGGAGCUUCUUUGGGACCUUCUUCCAGCUGCCCCCUCGGUCCUCUGCAUGCUCACCCCGCUCUCCCCCCACCUCCCCAGAGAACUGAGUAGAUUUUUCUCUCUGCAGUGAAAGGGAGAGGGAGAGGGGAUCGAGCAGGGACAGGAGGCUUGCCUGCUCAAGUUCUCCAACUUUUUGGUCUUGGGACCCCUUUACACUCUUAAAAGUUACUGAGGAUUCCAAAGGGCUCUGGUUUCUGUGGAUCAUAACUACUGAGACUUGUCAAAUUAGAAACAAACUGAGAAAAUUCUUAAUGUUUAUUAGUUAUUUUAAAAUAACUAAUAUUCCUUACUUAAAACAAUAUUAAGCCCAUUACAUGUUAACAUAAAUAACAAUUUUAAAGCAAAAAUAACUAUACUUUCCAAAGCAGCAGCAAAAUGGAGUGAGCAGAAUGGCAUCAUUUUACAGUUUUGCAACUCUCUGUGGUGUCUGGCUUACCAGGAGACAGCUGGUUCUCACAUCGGCUUCUAUAGCAAUCUGUUGUGAUGUGUUGUUGGGAAGGAGAUAUAUAAAGAUAAUCCGGCCUCACACAGAUAAGUGGUUAGAAAGGGCAGGACCUCACAGACCCACUGGAAGGGUUUUGGAACUCUCAGGGAUCCUGGACCACACUUGGAGGGUGGAUAAUUCAUGUUUUUUGUUUUCUGUAUUUUAUGACACUUUGACAUCCCAGCGCCAACUGAUUACUAGAGAUAACAAGCACUUGGACUAGGCACAGCCUCUGAUACGCUAACCGAGCAAUCCAGAGCCAUGUCCCAGGCCUCCUUGAUCUGGCUCUCCAGCAUCCAGACAGUAUUUCCCUGCCCAUCCUAAACCACCCCAGUGCCAGCUAUGGGACAACCAGGGACCAUAUGUGGCCCAGAGCCUGCUAGAAUUAUUCAAAGUAGCCAAUCCUAAACUGUUCACCUGGCCCUGCCUUGCCACCCUGGUGCUCCCCGUGUGGCCCUGCACAGUGUGUGGUGCCUUCUGCUUCCAGGACACUGUGAGUAAAAACCUCUUCCUCCCUGACAGUCCUUUCCACGUCUCCCUACCUCCAGGUCAUCCAGACCUCUCACUCCUCUUGAUGUCUGUAUCUGACACACCCUAGACCUGGAAUUCCUUUACCUCCCUUCUCUGCCCAGCAAACUCUUACUCAGCCGUUGAGACUCAACUCAGAGGCCACCGCUUCUGUGAAGCCUGCCUUAGUCACCCUCCCCUCUGCUCCCCGGCACAAAGCGUUGCUCAAGCCCAGCACUGCCAUCCACCAGUGUCCCCUGUCUUCCCACCUCUCCCCCAAGGGCAGGUGGCUGGAGGGAGGGAGGCCCCUUGUUCUGCUCUGCCAUCCUGGGUUCAGGGCCUGACCAAUGACUUUGGCUUUGUGGAAUAAAGGGAUGAGAGCAUGAAGGGAAAGAGGGAGAAUGCCUGCUCCUCAGGGAGCAGAAGCCGCUCCGGGAGACACCCAGCAGGCUGGCUCCAUUUAUGCCCCUGUCUUCUCUUCUUGAGGGGGCUGAAGCCACAGGAGAGGGAGAAAACAAACCCCCUGUCCUCCCUCUGUGUGGACACAGCCUACUUCCAUCUACAGCCUGUGGCUGGGGAUCCAGCCCCCUCUGGCAUCUCUGUGGGAACAGGUCACUGGUCACUCCUGAGCCCUCUGUGUGUGUGUGUGUGUGUGUUGUUGUGUGUGUGUGUGUUGUGUAUGGGAGUGGUAUUGCAAACUGCCUGCAGGAGUCUGACAGGUAACAAGAUGGGUGACGUUCAUCAUGGCCUGGGACAAGAGGGAGUGGCGGUGACUGCCGCAAAGGUGACCCACCCAAAGAGGUGACCUCAACUCAGCGCCAACAGAGCCAGGUCUUCCGACUUGCUAAGAGGAACUGGAAAUUCUUACUUUCAGGUGAAAUCUUCUGAUUUUUAAGUGUUGUCCUAAAUUUGUAACAUACUGUGUUGAUAAAGCAAAGGACAGCAGCAGGCCUCAAGGCCGCAGAGGUGAAGAGAGAGAAGCCUCUCUAGGUGGGGUAGGGGGAAGGGGAAGCAUUCAGCCAGGGGAUUAUGACAAGCCCCAACCUGGCUUCUUUCCAGGGAGUCUCACUCACCCUUUGAGCCGCAGCUGCGGUUGAGAAUUUCGCCAACACCAUUGGUUCCCCGCCCUCAGGCGAGCACUGAACUCCAGCAGAGACCAGAGGUAGCACACUUAAGAUCAAGCCCUGGGAGCUGGAAGGGACCCCUUAGUCCAGUGUGGGAUCUGGGGCUUGGGGAGGUCAAGGGACUUGCCCUGCGUUGUGCAGCCCACCCCAGGCAGUGUGGGCACUCCUGGUUGCCUGCCUGAGCCCACCUGUCAGUUCCUGAUGCUGCCUUGCCAGGGAAGCAUGAAAUGCUGCUCUGAAGUAGCCCAGCAGCGUGAAAAGCCAAUACUCCGCCCCUUGUCACCUUCUAUUUUAUUCUCCAGAGCUCCACUCCCUCCGUCCCGUUUGAGCACAGCUUCCCCCCUCCUGGUGGCUUCUUCUGGAGCCAUGAGAUUACACACACUAUUAGACACGGGAGGGGAUUCUGUCAUGAGAGUGGGAUCUCAGCAGAAAAUGAGCUUAAAUAUCAAUUUGCUCAUUUUUGAAUUCUUUUAAAUGGAACAAACUAAAUAAUUUUAGUGAUGAGAGAGACCCUUUGCAGAUGACACUAAGUCCUUUCCUUGGGGUCCACUCUCACCCCUGCCCCUGCAGCUUCAGGAGGUGGAGGGGCACCCGUACCCCUGUGCUGAAUGGUCAUUUUGUGCACCUGGGUAGAAUGAUCUGGGGUGCCCCCCCCCAAUUCCCCGGGGGAACAGGCAGCCCCUGUGGGCCUGCAGUUCCAGGAGCAUUGGGAGAACUCCCGGCCAAAUGCCAGUCCCGGUGCCUGAAAUUCUGCCAGGUUGGAUUCAAGCACUGCACUGAAUUUGUGGGCAGACAGGUCUAAGCCGAGCCUGAGAGGAAACGGGGCGAGUUUGUGUCCCAGUGGAGUGGCCCCUUCAUUCAGAAAUACAGAAGUGAAGCACCUCGCCUAGCCUGGGGAACUCAGGAAAGGCUUUCUGAGAACGGGACUUCAGUGCUGGGUCCUGAGAAGGAGUAGGUGUUAAGGGAAAAGCAGGGAAGAUGAGGGGGCUCCAGGCAGAGGGAACAGCAUGUGCAGAGGCCUCAAGACAGAACCUGAUGUGUUUGAGAAUCUGCAGGUCACUCAGGACUGAGUGGCAGGGGGUGGAAGGGGAGCUGGAGAGGCCGUGAGCCAUGCUACGGAGUCUGCUGGUCCCACUGGGGGCAACUGGGAGCCACUGAAGGCUCUAAGCAACGAAGGGACCAAGUUAAAUUUGAAGUAUAGAAAAAGUGUCUACAGCAGCUUGGAGACUAGGUGGUCGGGCUCAAGAUGGAACAGGAGGGUCAGAUGGGAAGCUAUUGCCGGAGUUCCAGUGAUGGGUGUUGGUGGCCGGGACCCAGACUGUGACAAAUGGGAUCAGGAAAUCAAUGAUCUAGGGCAGGGCAGAGCAUAACAUCCCUGGCUCCAUCCUAAGCUCCAGUCACCUGGACUCCAUCCCUUAGAGCAGGACACAUCCCUCUCUCCUCUUCUCCACCAGUCCCCCCACCCCAUGGCCACGGAGACGCAGACUCCACCAUCGCUACCUGGCUGGUCCGGGUGAUGCAGCGGCGGAUGAGGUCCCUGAUGUUGUUGCGCUUGUCCGUCUGGAAGUACACGGUGACGCUGGACUUUUCCUUCAGGUAGGGCUUCUCGGCUGAGGCCCAGGUGUGCACCAAGGUCGGCUCGCUGCCCUCUGAGGCCACAGGGAAGUAGGUACUUGAGGCCAUGGAGCAGGAAUCGAGUCCCUUGGAACCUGCCGUGGCCCUUCCUGGGAGCUCCGGGGCAGAGGGGGGCUCCUUGGCCUGGGCCUGGAUGUACUGGGCCUCCACCGAAGACAAGAAGUCCACCUCGCCUUCCUGGCUGAGCACCCGCCGGUAGGCCUCGGGACCCCCAUCCAAGAGGGCAUCUGUGGCCAGCCGGGCACUCUCAUUGUCACUGAAGUCAGCCCUGGCUGGCCGGACCCACUGGCUCUUGACAUCUUCCAGGCGUUUCUGGAUCUUGCCCAUGUGUCUUGCCCCGCUCAUGCUGCCCUGUCCCUGAGUCGUGUGGGGGGCAGCCGGCACCUGAGCUCUUCCUGAUGUCAGGGGCAAGUGGGCCACACCACCCAGGAGGAGCGGGGCUCACAGCACUUCUGGAAAGCACCCACUCCUAGCACUGGUGUGCGGCCAGCAUCCAGGAUUACCUGCUCCAAGGUAAUCCUGCCCUCCUGAGCAAUGCUUCACAGGGAUCAUCACCCACUGCCAGGGGUUGGUUUAUCUCUGAGCGACACCCGCCCUGCCCGCGGGCCAGGAGGGCUGGCUCUAUCACGCCUGGGCACACUCAGCCCUGGGAGACUUCUUCUCCUCCCAGCAGCCAAGACGCCAGUUGGUUCAGAGACAGUUUCCCUGGUGGGCCCCUGAGAUCUGCCAUCCAUCCUGUGCCCAUGUGAGGAGGGAAGCUGGAUGCCCCCCAGGCAGCACCGUUCACCAGGCACUGCUCCUUUCUCUUGGUAACACCCCCAAGUUCCCAGCCCUCCCCAUUCUCUGGAAAAGCCUUCUUUCCCAUCUCUCUUCCCUUAUUGUGUUUGCAGUGGCCAUGCUUGAACAGAACCCCCAGAGAGGUUCCCUUUCUGGGCCGGUGCUGAUCUGUUGGAAGCGGCGGCUUGGAAUACUACCUGGAGAAGAACCUUGGGCUGUGUCCAGGCCCGCGGACCGAUGGGAUCAGUCUGUCUGGGUGCUGGUGGGGCAGGUGGCCGCAGGCGUGUUUGAAGUAGAUGAACUGCUAAGGGAGAAGCCACUUUUUCUUUCCAGGUCAGGCUGUGGUCAAUUCCAUGUCAAUGGAAUGCAAAACCUAGAGUCCUGAUGUUACUGAAUCAGGUCUGACUGCUUGACGCGCAAAAAUCAAUAUUCCAGAGAGAGACAAAAGGUGGUGAAAAGGAAAGCUGCCUUUAAUCAGAAUGCUGGCAAUCUGGGGAAAUGGACCCAGUGUCCCCAAAACCCACCUCCCAAAAUUCUGCUCAUCCAUGGAGUUUGUAAAGGGAAAAGGGGAAGUAAUCUCAAUCACUGACAUAGGGAGUCAGAGUUGUUGCCAUCCCUCCCUGUGUGCAGGCUUGUCGGCUCCUUGUGAUUCUUCCUUAGGUGCUCUCUUGUUCACACAGUUUGUCCGUGAGAUUGCUGAAAGAAAAGCUAGGGAAGACAUCUGGUCAUCGGCUGAUUACUUAUUCUUCAUUUCUAAUUUGAUCUAUGGAAAGAACCAACAGAUUAGACAAGGUGUGGUGUGAUCAAAAGAUUUGAAAGGUGUGCUAGGGCUGGAGGUGAGUAGGGCAUGGAGCGCCUGGUUUGAGGUUAGUGACAGGACAAAGGGGCCUCCUGCAGAGAGCUCUUUCCUGCCCAAAGCUGCUUACACGGACUGCCUUUGAUUGGGUUCUUCCAGAAACAGACUAGGAUUCGAGUACAAGUAGCUAACUGGGAAGUGAUCCCAAGAUGCUCUGGUAGGGGAGCAGAGGAGUGAGACAGGAAGGUGGGGGGAAGCUGCUUGGGGCAGGGUACGUUAAGGAGCAUGUCACCAUUGUGGACAUCUGGGAUUUAUGAACAUCUGUGGGAACGUCUGGGCUCUGGUCCUGCCGGGGACCUCCAGGAGAUGGUAUAGAAUACAUCUCAGACUUUUCCUACCCAAAGGCUGAGAAAACUGCAGAAUCUAUCUACCAACCCCCACUGAUUGUUGGUCCAGGGCUGCUUCUGGGGCUGCAUUAGUUCCCCAGCCCUACUGGCCGGUUCUGUGGGCUCACCAAGCACAGCCCUGGAGCCCGAGAAAGCCUGCAGGCAGAGGUCGCAGGCGCAAAGGACAAGCUAACGAGGUAAGAGCGGGGCCCUGACGAUAUCUGCUAUGAGAAUUAUGGCAGGAAACUAGGAUUGAGUGGUCUUCAAACAGCUGGCACGUGGUAAGAGCCAGGUGCCUCUCUGCGGCACAUCUCUCUACUCUUUGGAGGACAGUGCUAUAUAUAAGCAUCUGUAACCCCACAAAAGCUGUGGAGGGAGGCUGUCUGGAAGUAGAGCAGUGUUUUUAAAUGCACAGUCCAAGAAAGAGAAAGGGGAUUUAAAAGGGAUUUCUUCUCUUUUGAAGGAUAUAGAAGGAAUCUAAUUCAAGACCUCGGGCACCCUUCCCCUUAUUCCACUUUAUCUCCUUCCACAGGGCCUGGAACCUUGAUGGGGACAAAGCUAAUACCCUCUCUGUCUUUGGUGCCCCUGGCUCCACAUGCCCUCCCUUCUGCCAGCUCCCUCCUUGUGCAGAUUGACUUCACCUCUUGCCCACAUUCUCCUUGGACCUUCCCUCCUCUCCAUCUCCUCUGGGUCCUCAGCCCACUCUCCAAUCUGUGUCAUCAAAUCCAGUCCCCAGUCUGGUGAGGGGAUAAUAAUCCAUGGGAUUUGUGCUGGUUCACUCCGAGGCCCAGAAGCUGUUGAUGGCUCACAGUUGCCUGGCACGUUGAGCACCAAGUCUCGAGCCUAGCCUUUGGGGCCCUGCAUGUCUGUGAUCUGUGUGAACAUUGCAGCCUGACCUCUCCUUCACUUGGCCGUCAUCGAGUCCUCCCUGCACGCUGGCUCUCUGAGCUAAGGGACACAUGGAGGAUGAGGCUUCGUCUCACAGAUGAGGCACUGUGGAUUAUGGACAGCUUACUUCCCUUCUUCCAUCCUGUGACCUGAAGUGUAGUCUCUCUGACUCAUGAGGAUACUGACAAAGAGAGAAAUGCAAUGUUGUAGAAGAUUCCCACUUGCACCCCUCUUUGCUGCUAGUGACUUAAAAAGACUAUAAGGAUGAAUCAGCUCACUGUGGCCAGCUCCCUGCUUCCCUUCAGUGAGCAAAGCCCUGCUCUGUGUUCUGAAGGCAGGAAGGCCGAGAUCAAGGUGUUGGAAGGGUUGGUUUCUUCUAAGGCCUCCCUCCUUGGCUGGCAGACGGCCACCUUCCUUCUGAGUCUUCAUCUGAUCUUCCCCCGGGCAGGUCUGCAUCCUAAUCUCCUGUUCUCAGAAACAGUUUCACUGCAGUUACAAAGAACAAGGAAGAUCUAUAUGUAUUGACAGGGAAAGAGUUCCCAGCUUAUUGUUAAGUGGAAAAAGUAAGUCACUGGGCAAUAUGAUACUGAUAUCAGUGGUUCCCUCUGGAGAGGUAACAGGAUUGGGGUAAGGGUGCGGUGAGGGAGACAUUUAUAUGUAUAAGUCUGUGCAGAGAUUGGAUUAUUGUUCUCAAUUCUUCACUCCCCUCCUUGCCCUGGCUUUGCAGCUUCUCCCCUGUGGGCUGGGUAUAUCUCCCUGGCCCGUGGAUGUUGAACUUGGCCAGGUGACUUGGUUUGGCCAAUAGAAUUUGGAUGGAGGUGCCCAGAGCAGAGGCCUUAAAUGUGCUUGCUUGGUAUAGUUUGGUCUCUCAGGCUUCUGUGACCCUCAGUGAGAAGAAGGCACCCCAGGAAAUGGCUGACCAUGAAGACGACAGCCUUUAAGACUGACCUUCCUGCUGCCAAUGGAGACCAUGAAGACAUGACAAGAAGGGCUGAACCAAACCACAGCCUGGCGCUAGCCCAGCCGACAACACACCUGUGAGCAAGAAAAAUACAUGCUUACCUGGAAAACAUUAUGCUGAGUCAAGCUGUGUCGGGUCUUAGUUGUGGCACACAGAGUCUUUGCUGAGGCAUGCAGGAUUCUCUCUAGUUGUGGUGCGGUGGCCUCGCAGCAUGUGGGAUCUUAGUUCCCUGACCAGAGAUUGAACCCAUGUCCCCUGAAUUAAAAGGCAGAUUCUUUACCACUGGACCACCAGGGAAGUGCCUGAAUUAUAUACAGUUUAAACAAGUAAAUUGUAUGGCAGGAGAAUUAUAUUUCAAUAAAGCUAUUCAAAAAGAAA